GAGGAAUAUUGGUCAAUGGGAGAGAUCCUGAACCAGCCAAGCCGCGUGAGGGAAGACGGCCCUAUGGGUUGUAAACCUCUUUUGUCGGAGAACAAAACCCGGGACGAGUCCCGGACUGCGUGUAUCCGAAGAAAAAGUAUCGGCUAACUCC
rnacentral:rRNA from 1 species